UGGACCUUAAAAAUGAGGUAUAAAUGCCAC
rnacentral:piRNA from 1 species